rnacentral:rRNA from 1 species
GGACCCGCACAAGUAGUGGAGCAUGUGGUUUAAUUCGAAGAUACGCGCAGAACCUUACCAACACUUGACAUGUUCGUCGCGACUUUAAGAGAUUAAAGUUUUCGGUUCGGCCGGACGAAACACAGGUGCUGCAUGGCUGUCGUCAGCUCGUGUCGUGAGAUGUUGGGUUAAGUCCCGCAACGAGCGCAACCCUCACUUUUAGUUGCCAUCAUUAAGUUGGGCACUCUGAAAGAACUGCCAGUGAUAAGCUGGAGGAAGGUGGGGAUGACGUCAAGUCCUCAUGGCCCUUACGUGUUGGGCUACACACGUGCUACAAUGGUAUUUACAACAGGAAGCAAGACGGCGACGUUAAGCAAAUCCUUAAAAAUACCUCAGUUCGGAUUGCACUCUGCAACUCGAGUGCAUGAAGCUGGAAUUACUAGUAAUCGUGGAUC